rnacentral:misc_RNA from 1 species
AACGCACCUUGCACUCUUUGGUAUUCCAAGGAGCAUGCCUGUUUGAGUGUCAUGAAAAACUCAACCUGUUUUGGCUUUUUUUUCAAAAGCUUUAAAAGCAGGCUUGGAUAUUGGGAGUUUAUGCUGGCUAUCUGAUGAUGUCGGCUGUCCUUGAAUGCAUUAGCAGGAUUAUUGCACAGUGUUGCUGGUCAUCAAUUUUGGUAUGAUAAGAAUAUCUAUGUCAAUUGUUGAGACUGCUACAAUUUUCUUUCUCUCAAAAGAAAAUUGAUCUUGCUUUCUAAAAUAAUAAUUGUUGAUGAUUUUGACCUCAAAUCAGGUAGGACUACCCGCUGAACUUAA